AUUGAACGCUGGCGGCAUGCCUUACACAUGCAAGUCGAACGGUAACAGGGAGCUUGCUCCGCUGACGAGUGGCGAACGGGUGAGUAAUGCGUCGGAACGUGCCGAGUAGUGGGGGAUAACGCAUCGAAAGGUGUGCUAAUACCGCAUACGAACUGAGGUUGAAAGUGGGGGACCUUCGGGCCUCACGCUAUUCGAGCGGCCGACGUCUGAUUAGCUAGUUGGUGAGGUAAAGCUCACCAAGGCGACGAUCAGUAGCGGGUCUGAGAGGAUGAUCCGCCACACUGGGACUGAGACACGGCCCAGACUCCUACGGGAGGCAGCAGUGGGGAAUUUUGGACAAUGGGCGCAAGCCUGAUCCAGCCAUGCCGCGUGUCUGAAGAAGGCCUUCGGGUUGUAAAGGACUUUUGUCCGGGAGCAAAUGCUGGUGGCUAACAUCCACCGGAGCUGAGAGUACCGGAAGAAUAAGCACCGGCUAACUACGUGCCAGCAGCCGCGGUAACAC
rnacentral:rRNA from 1 species